rnacentral:tRNA from 1 species
AAGGGACGUAUAAACACCUAGAACUGCUAAUUCCAGCUUCCAAGAAUAAAAUUCUUGGGUCCCUUA